AACCAAGCGAAGGGAGGAUUGCGAUUCUCCAGCCCCUUUUAUGCUGUCACGCAUGACCACUUGGUAAAUGAGUGCAGCUGUCUCUACAAUUUGCAGCUACGUCCUUUCCCUUCCAGGUCAAUACGUUCCUCAAACAGAGUCUCUCCUUCUUCCAGGUUGACCGACUUCCUGACCCUUGAAAUGAACUGUCGGACCUGCCUGUCCAAAGGACACAACUUUCGCUGCUUUGAGCCCUCACAGAACCUGUACAAGUGUUUCUCUUCUACUGGCAUCUACCUGGCAAACAUCUGAACAGGCUGUCAUUGAGCUACAGUAUCUACCCUUUCCAACUGACCAGCUUGAUAAGCAUAACUGUUGCAUAAUGUCCUUUCUGUGAUCAGAUGUCAAACAUCAGGGAAAACAACAUACCACCUGUCUCUUUUCUUCCCCUGAGAAGCUUAGCCUUCUGUCAGAGACUUUGCUAAGCCUGUUCUACCAAGAGUAUGACAAGGAAAAAAUUAUGUGAAUUAAACUCAGAAUAUUAUUGAACAUUUUAUGUACUGUGCAUCAUUUAUUUAAGAGGAGGUACUUAGUAUGCCUGGAGGUGUGCCGACAAUAAAUGUUCCACUUGUGUCAUUG